CCGGCGGAGAAUUAGAAGCACCUGUGAAACUCGUACUAUGUGGUGAAAUGAUCGACCUUGCUACUCAAGUAGAUACCAAACAUGCCAAAACAGUUGCAGGUGAUUCCUUUGCCGGGUUUGAAAUCCUUGGUAAAUCACAAACAGAGAGUCUGUGAAAAAGUCAGUUUUCGACUUCCACGGCCACGUCAAGAGCACCGCCAGCUGACGGCGGUAAGUGUGACAUCAGGCCUAUUGCGUACCAUCCCGACCAUAACACUGCGGUGGUAUCGUCCGCUUCUCUCCCCAACACGGAAACCGGAAGCGGAAAACGAGCCUUAGGACUUGGGGAAAGAGUUCCAUAUACGGACGCCAAAGUUGUCAAGGGGAAUCGCUUGCAACUCACUGGACAGCAAAACAGGAUGACCCAAGGAGUGUAAUGGCAGGAUUCAUCGUCCACCAGUAUUUCUUUGAUGCAAGGAAAAGAUUAAAAGAGGACAUUGACUGAGAGAUGACCGUCCAAUCAUGGUGGGUGGAAGGGGUCACUUCGGAGGUCUUUCUAAGCAAAAGAUCCAGGUUUCAGUGUAUGAAUCAUCCAGUGGGCUUCAAAGCUAAACCAGUCAGCUAACCAGCCAGCCAACCGAUCAACCAGUCAGUUAUGCUAGACAGCCAACAUUUGCCAGGCGUCAGUGUUGCUGGAAGUCUUUGGACCAGCCAGUCAGCCCACCAGCCACCCAACCAGUCAUCCAUGCAGUCACUGUCAGUCAUGCUAGAGUGUCAAUGUUAGCUAGGCGUCCAUGUUGCUGGAAGUCUUUGGACCAGUCAGUCAGCCCACCAGCCAACCAACAGUCAUCCAGUCACUGUCAGUCAUGCUACACAGUCAACGUUAGCUAGGCGUCCAUGUUGCUGGAAGUCUUUGGACCAGUCAGGCAGCAGAGCAGUACUUAACAAUAGUAAAGCUACUUUCUAA